UAUUUACUCCCUCUGUCUAACAAAAGAUGUCUUAAGUUUGUUAAAUUUGAAUAUAUCUAGACAUGACUUAGUGUAUAGAUGCAUUCAAAUUUAAUCAAAGUCUAGACAUUCUUUGUUGGACGGAAGUACCAU
rnacentral:pre_miRNA from 1 species